CCCUUAGAUGUUCUGGGCGGCCCGCGCACUACAAUGGCGUGUGCAGCGAGUGCCGAAGUAGCGUUUUCCGAGGUAUUCUUGCAAUGCUCGUUUUGAUGGGGAUAGACCCUUGCAACUGUUGGUUUUGAACGAGGAAUUCCUUGUAAGCAUGGUUUAUCAUCCGACGCUGAAUGCGUCCCUGCCCUUUGUACACACCGCCCGUCGCUCCUACCGAUUGAGUGCUCCGGUGAACAAUUUGGACUGCUUUGAUUCGAUUAGAAUUUGAAGCGGAAAGUUUAGUGAACCUUAUCACUUAGAGGAAGGAGAAGUCGUAACA
rnacentral:rRNA from 1 species